AGGAAGAGAGAAUGCCGGAAUGAGUAGCGAGAUGAAGGUGAGAAUCCUUCAGGCCGAAUAUCUAAGGUUUCCAGAGUAAAGCUGAUCUGCUCUGGGUAAGUCGGGACCUAAGGCGAGGUCGAAAGACGUAGUCGAUGGAUAACAGGUUGAAAUUCCUGUACCGCAUAUAAACAGAACUGUGGGGACACAGACAGGGAAUGGAAUCCGGGAGUGGAAAUCCCGGUGCAAGCGAGGUAGGAGUGCUGUUGGCAAAUCCGCAGCACGAUCUGAAGACGUGACGCGUACCGAACAUAAGUAGGGAAGUCCAGGCCCCUGGCUGUCAAGAAAAGCCGCUAUCGUUUUAUAUGUGCCCGUACCGCAAACCGACACAGGUGGAUGAGGAGAGAAUCCUAAGGCCGACGGGAGAAGUAUUGUUAAGGAACUCGGCAAAAUGACUCCGUAACUUCGGGAGAAGGAGUGCCAUGAGAGUGGCCGCAGAGAAAUGGCCCAAGCAACUGUUUAGCAAAAACACAGGUCUAUGCAAAACCGCAAGGUGAAGUAUAUGGGCUGACGCCUGCCCGGUGCUGGAAGGUUAAGGGGAGAGGUUAGCGCAAGCGAAGCUUUGAACUUAAGCCCCAGUAAACGGCGGCCGUAACUAUAACGGUCCUAAGGUAGCGAAAUUCCUUGUCGGGUAAGUUCCGACCCGCACGAAAGGCGUAAUGAUUUGGGCACUGUCUCAACAAUGCACCCGGUGAAAUUGAAAUACCAGUGAAGAUGCUGGUUACCUGCGCCAGGACGGAAAGACCCCAUGGAGCUUUACUCCAGUUUGAUACUGGGAUUCGGCAUGGUAUGUACAGGAUAGGUGGGAGACUGAGAAGGUAUGACGUCAGUUGUACCGGAGUCGCUGUUGGGAUACCACCCUUACCAUGUUGGAUUUCUAACCUGUGGCCGUAAGCCGGUCAGGGGACAAUGUCAGGCGGGGAGUUUGACUGGGGCGGUCGCCUCCGAAAGGGUAUCGGAGGCGCUCAAAGGUUCCCUCAGAAUGGUUGGAAACCAUUCGAAGAGUGCAAAGGCAGAAGGGAGCUUGACUGUGACACCGACGGGUGGAGCAGGUACGAAAGUAGGACUUAGUGAUCCGGUGGUAUAAAGUGGGAUUGCCAUCGCUCAACGGAUAAAAGCUACCCUGGGGAUAACAGGCUUAUCACUCCCAAGAGUUCACAUCGACGGAGUGGUUUGGCACCUCGAUGUCGGCUCAUCGCAUCCUGGAGCUGUAGCAGGUUCCAAGGGUUGGGCUGUUCGCCCAUUAAAGCGGUACGCGAGCUGGGUUCAGA
rnacentral:rRNA from 1 species